CUCAAAUUCAAACAAAAACAUCACCUUCCCAGAAAGAAAAAGUAAAAACCUAAAAGCCUUCAAACCACAGAGAUAUCAGCACCCUACAAACAUAAACAUCAAACCAAGAAAAAGAUACCACAACAGAAGUCCCAAAAUCUAAGGUAAAGAAGAAAAAAGAACCAAUCUUAUGACACAAAGGUCCAAUCCUUAUGAGCUAAUAACAACUCCCAUUUACAAGAAAACCACAAAAAAUCAUCAGCACCCUACAAACAUAAACAUCAAACCAAGAAAAAGAUACCACAACAGAAGUCCCAAAAUCUAAGGUAAAGAAGAAAAAAGAACCAAUCUUAUGACACAAAGGUCCAAUCCUUAUGAGCUAAUAACAACUCCCAUUUACAAGAAAACCACAAAAAAUC
rnacentral:misc_RNA from 1 species